CAACAGCAAGCGGAAACACUAGCAAACAUUCCUCCUAGAUCAGUGCACCGAUUUACCAACGUUAGAUUUCCUGUACUUCCGAUACCGACAUCCGUGAAAAAGAGCUGCCAUGCAUCCUUUUCACAUGAUAAGUAGCACACAUGAUCAGCAUUAUUCGCCCAACGUCGACCCCAUUCGAGAGACCGUUUCCAACGGAGUUUGUUUGGUGAAAUCCAAAUACGACGUAGCAAAGCAUAUGUCAAGCGAUGUGUAUAACCUAAGCGCCAUUAAAUCUAUGCUCGACACCCUGCAACAGAUCCAUUAUGAUCCAGCAAUCCCACACAGCGAUCUUAUACAGAUGAGUUUAAUGGCCAAAGAUUCGUGUCUGCGAGAUCAUUCAUAAAACUAAAAGAUUGUGGAUUUGUGGAGCAAAUUCUUGACAACGCUCUGCGAGAGGAACAUUUUAUUACUAUCGGGACAGCGCAGUGUCCGCGAUUACACUCACCAAGGUUGCAAGACAAUAUCUCCAACUAUCCCGCCAGUGGUUCGAUGCUCUCGAACACAUUUUGUGGAACGCAAAAAAUGAUCAGUCUUCGAGAGCAGAUAAAAAGUAGACCAUAGACCAUAGACUUCUCCCAGAGCAGAACGGCGAAACACUCUUUGCUUUUACAUAAACCUGAUUGGAUCGAUCACUUUGUUUUGCUCUAUACGAUCACGAAAAAUUGCUUGCUCAUUAUUAUGAACCAAACGAAAGAGGUACACCUGAAACCGAAAGCUUACAAAGUAAUAGCAUUGCAGUGCAGUCAUACUAGCGCACUGAUUCGUUUCUGGAGGACUAAGAUUUUUGGGAGCUCAUUUAAUGCACAGCUGCAGUUACCCGUGGGAAUACCUAAUAAAUUCAACAAAUUCAAUACAUCAUACAUCUUCGUCGGCAGACAUUGUACUAAGAGACAUUCUUCUUCUUCAGUUCUGUUUGGCUUGUUUGUGAAUCAAAGCCGAAAAAUGGCACUUAAUUUUCAUUUAUAGUCAGACUUUACUUUUUCCGACUAACCGUCACAAUAUUGGCCACCACAGCACGAAUAAUUCUUCCAAUAAUGGAGAAAAAAUGAAUUUUCUUCGCACACGGAGAAAACCAACCUGUCGACACGUUAAACAUCUCACCGGAAGUAUACUAAGGGAUAUGACCGUCACUAAAGAUUGUUUGAACUGGUUGCUUGCAUCGAAGACGGAAGCUGUUCGUCGAAGCCACCGACUGAACUGAACACCUUUGGAACGGUGCACUCGGUGAAUUGAACACGAUAGUGCUAGCUGUAUGUCUACACCAGCAAACAAAAAUAUUUAGGUCAAGACAUCGUGUAAUGAAAAAUAUAUCUUUUUAUUUUA